AUUGAACGCUGGCGGUAUGCUUAAGACAUGCAAGUCGAACGGUAACAGACCUUCGGGUGCUGACGAGUGGCGGACGGGUGAGUAACACGUGGGAAUCUACCUUGUAGUGGGGGAUAAGCCAGGGAAACUUGGACUAAUACCGCAUACGCCCUAAGGGGGAAAGGAGCAAUUCGCUAUAAGAUGAGCCCGCGUCUGAUUAGCUAGUUGGUGAGGUAAAGGCUCACCAAGGCGACGAUCAGUAGCUGGUCUGAGAGGAUGACCAGCCACAUUGGGACUGAGACACGGCCCAGACUCCUACGGGAGGCAGCAGUCGGGAAUAUUGGACAAUGGGGGCGAACCCUGAUCCAGCAAUACCGCGUGUGUGAAGAAGGCCUGCGGGUUGUAAAGCACUUUUAGUAGGGAAGAUAAUGACGUUACCUACAGAAAAAGCACCGGCUAACUCCGUG
rnacentral:rRNA from 1 species